UGACAGGGCUAGGGGCCAGGACUCUCCUCUUCGUGUUUUCGGGGGAUAUUGCUAACUCCGGGUCCGAUAACAGGCAACCCACGCACAGUAGAUGUGCUCGGUGUGAGGUCUCGCAGCAAGCUAUCAAAUACGGCGCAUUUCUGGGCUUUUAAAAAAAAACGCUAUGCGUCGCCAGGUGUUUCAUCGGAUUUGAGGUGUUACCUCCUUUGACAGUAUCACAGUAUCAGCUUAAAGCACUUGUUGCAGGCUGCUGAGUUUGCAUAUUUUGCUGUGAAGUACAGCCAGACUUUUGACCGCUUCGCCUUGGGCAUUUUUAAUCUGUAGCUCUGCUCUAAAAGAACGCACGUACCUGGGCCCGCCUACUAUCCUCGGAAACGUAAAAUUAUUGGCUAGAAGUGUAUCACAGCUCAGGAAAAAAAAAGCACCGAAAUAAAGCACCGAAAUGUGCGCUGCUUUUCGGUCUGGUUACUACCGUUUAUGUCAGAACCGGUGUCCGGUGUCCGGUGCCCAUCCCUAUUGCUAACUACAUUCAUACACAUUCACACUCUUGACAUGUAGACUGGAGGAGGCAGGGAUCGAUCCACUAAUCGUCCGAUCAGAAGAUGAUUUACCACCCAGUGGUAAACAUGAGUAAACCGUUACUAGGUUUUGGAUAAAAAAAAAAAAAAGGGAACCACCCCCACCUCAUGAUGCUUAAUCGAUGUAAUCAACUUUAAUUUGAUGCAGGGUGAAAUAAAAUGCACAGAAAUAAAAAAAAUUUCAAGAAUAAUUAAAUAGAUUCAACAUCUUUCUUCAACAGAACUGCAGAAUUCACAGAUGGUACUUUCCCAAAGGAAAAAGUACUAGCUUACUAGGGUAUAUUAGACUUAACAGUUACUAUAUACAGUAAUGGACUUCCAUAUAUUUUACAUCAGAUUAAAACUUUGGGUGUAAGAUUCAGAUAAUUAUUUAUUGAAAGCUCGACAUUUUAAAUGAGAAUAAGAAAGAAAAGUAUGUCUUUGUGCCCCCUUUUCCCUGUUCAUGCCCUAUCGGCCCCCCUGGCUAAACUUUGCUAGAUCCGCCCCUGCACAGUUACCAG
ensembl:lncRNA